GGGUCAGCAGGGCUCGGAAAAUCACUCAGAGCAUAUGUGCAACCUACAAAUGAAGCCAGAGCAACCGGGUCGUCAAGGGAAGCCUCACUGCACCAUGACGGACGUCGAGCUGUAACUCUACCUAUGCUCCUCAUUGAAAGAACAUCCUGCUCCUCAUCCUCUUCCUGGUCCAUUUCAAAUAACGGCACCUGGAAGAUAAGGCAAAUCUACAGUUACAGGACAAAGCCAAGUGGUAAACUGUAAUAAUUCAUUACUGCUUCAGACACAGUUGAAACUGCAAAGCUCAUCCACUUCAGCGCAACAAUUGCGUCAUGGUGACAAUGCUGAACAAGCUGUUGGAAACGUCUCCUGCCCCCUGGUGGUCGAAUCUCCUGACAGAAUGAGGCAAAGCGCUUUUAAAGUCCAGCAUCCUCUCAGCCAGCGGAGCUUUGAGCGCUGCUUCGUUUCCUGUCUGAGCCUGGUGCUGGUGGAGCCUGAGCUCCUACGCUCUUAGAUGUGGAGUGGACUCAUGCAAACAGGCUGUGGACGUGCUUCAGCGGUAGUGGGAACGUGCAGCCUGUGUGUGUUGAGCUUCUUACCUCCGGAAGAGGCUCCAUGGCUGGAGAAAAGGAGCACAAGCAGACGGAGCGCUGAAACCCUGCGGCACCAUGUCAGAUGGAGGGGAGAUAGAAGCGUCCGGGCAUGGUGGAGGAGGAGGCAGGAGGACAAGCACACAGACAAAGGAUCCAGAGAACCCCUAAACCCACACAGCCUCAGACAGCUGGGUCUGAAUGUCUGCAAAAGCCUGAAGUCUAAAUCAGGACGGAAGGGUGAGAGGUCUGUGGCAUUCAGAGCGGGGGAGGAGGAGAAGGGGGGCUCGACUGAGGGACGGCUACACAGGCUGCACAGACGUGGAGCUUCAGCACCCACUGGUGAAGCUCCAUCAACACACACCUGUAAAGUGUUUCCUGUCACAUCAGCUUCAGUAUCUGACUCGUCCUCCAGGCGACUUCAUCAGAAGUAACACCAACUAAUAAACGCCACACAGGAAACUGGGCACAAGACCUGGAAUACUGUUACUGACUGUUCACACCAUCGCUCAGUUGAUGAACUGCGUAUUUGAUGUAAACAGCAACGAGUCACACAUUUCAUGAACAAAUAUCUGAUCCAUCGUUGAGAAAAAUGAGACUAGUGCAGCUUUAAGGGGUCCGACAGCUCCUCUGUGGGAGAUAUUCAAGUUUCAUUGGGCGACUGCCUGUCAGACUAUUUAUAGACACUCAACUGAACUGAAGUGGACUAUCCCCUAGUUUUCACAGGCCAGAAGCACUACGUUAAAAAACAGAUGCUACGUUCACUGCCGUUAAACCUGCAACACCCACAAACACAUACUGCAAAUCCCAUCAUGCACCUGCACCAGUCGAUCCUGAGAGCCGUUGGCUACAUGAGUAAAUUAAAUGCAACAGUUCACUCCAUCUGGUUUGGGAAUUAAAAUACUGUCACAUUA